CAGGUACUCCUUCCGUUUGAAAUUACUUGUCGCAGAAAUAAAUGUAUCUAGAUGUAUUUUAAUUCUAGAUACAUCCAUUUUCGAGACAAGUAAUUCCGAACGAAGGGAAUACGUA
rfam:Triticum aestivum genome assembly, contig: Triticum_aestivum_CS42_TGACv1_scaffold_640862_T_4BL-0.149297_4BS-0.077436